AAGGCCCUUCGGGGUACACGAGCGGCGAACGGGUGAGUAACACGUGGGUAAUCUGCCCUGCACUCUGGGAUAAGCCCGGGAAACUGGGUCUAAUACCGGAUAUGACCACUUCACGCAUGUGUUGUGGUGGAAAGUUCCGGCGGUGCAGGAUGAACCCGCGGCCUAUCAGCUUGUUGGUGGGGUAAUGGCCUACCAAGGCGACGACGGGUAGCCGGCCUGAGAGGGCGACCGGCCACACUGGGACUGAGACACGGCCCAGACUCCUACGGGAGGCAGCAGUGGGGAAUAUUGCACAAUGGGCGAAAGCCUGAUGCAGCGACGCCGCGUGAGGGAUGACGGCCUUCGGGUUGUAAACCUCUUUCAGCAGGGACGAAGCGCAAGUGACGGUACCUGCAGAAGAAGCACCGGCUAACUACGUGCCAGCAGCCGCGGUAAUACGUAGGGUGCGAGCGUUGUCCGGAAUUAUUGGGCGUAAAGAGCUCGUAGGCGGUUUGUUGCGUCGGCCGUGAAAACCUGGGGCUUAACCCUGGGCCUGCGGUCGAUACGGGCAGACUUGAGUUCGGUAGGGGAGACUGGAAUUCCUGGUGUAGCGGUGAAAUGCGCAGAUAUCA
rnacentral:rRNA from 1 species